CACCAGAGAACCUGAUGACCUUGCCGUGUCCAUGAGUCCAUGGCACCCUGACGUCUCCAAGCUUGCUUUCAUCACACUGACUAGAGGAAGCCUACAAACCAGUCAUCAUGCACUUGGCUGAGCUCCAUCAGAUGAGGAAAAUCUGCAGGCCAGAAAACCAAGAUCAAGGUGACAGCAACCCAGUUCCUCAUGACUCUUGCUUCCUGACUUGUGGACAACAACUCCUCACUAUCCCCAGCCCGGCCUUUCUUCUUUUCAUGUGUGGAGAGAGAACCAGAGAUUGUCCUACACCGACACCAGUCCAAUCAAAUUAAGGUUCCACCCUCAUGAAUUCACUUAAAAUUACUCACCUCUUAAAGACAGUAUCUCCAAAUAUAGUCAUACAGAGGGCAAGAACUUUCAACACUCGAAUAUAAAUUUCAACUCAGAGGGGGACAUGAUUCAGUCCAUCAUAGCAACUACAUAAGUACAAAAUGACAUGUAGCUCUAUUCUUUCUAUCAUCAUCCUAAACUUUGUCAAGAAAUUAUCUUUAUUUCAACAUUUUAUAUUCUCAGUACAGUCUAAGUACAGUCAUUGAUGUUUUAUCAAAAUUCAUUCUGAGAGAUGCAAAUAAAAGAUAAUGUCACUGUUGUCA